rnacentral:rRNA from 1 species
CGCCUCUUGCUGAAUAAGAAUAAGAGGUCCCGCCUGCCCUGUGACUAUGUUUAACGGCCGCGGUAUCCUGACCGUGCAAAGGUAGCACAAUCACUUGUCUUUUAAAUGGAGACCUGUAUGAAUGGCAUCACGAGGGCUUAACUGUCUCCUUCUCUUGGUCAAUGAAAUUGAUCUUCCCGUGCAGAAGCGGGAAUAAAAAUAUAAGACGAGAAGACCCUGUGGAGCUUUAGAUCAUCAGCCGACUUAUGUUAAUAACCCUAAACAAAGGAUAAAACUAAGUAAUGCUCAGCUAAGUAUCUUCGGUUGGGGCGACCGCGGAGAAUAAAAAAACCUCCGAGAGGAAAAAUUUCCCAUGAUUCUAGAACAUCAGUUCUAAACACCAAAACAUUUGACCUUAAGAUCCGGCCAGGCCGAUUAACGAAAUCAGUUACCCCAGGGAUAACAGCGCAAUCCUUUUCAAGAGUUCAUAUCGACAAAAGGGUUUACGACCUCGAUGUUGGAUCAGGACAUCCUAAUGGUGCAGCAGCUAUUAAGGGUUCGUUUGUUCAACGAUUAAAGUCCU